UAGUUACAAUCGAGUAUAUAG
ensembl:piRNA 21ur-15305 ncRNA